GACAGAGGGGGCAAGCGUUGCUCGGAAUUACUGGGCGUAAAGGGCGCGUAGGCGGGAUGGCAAGUCGGUCGUGAAAUCCUUCGGCUCAACCGAAGAACGUCGAUCGAUACUGCUGUUCUUGAGGGUUGCAGAGGAGACUGGAAUUCCCGGUGUAGCGGUGAAAUGUGUAGAGAUCGGGAGGAACACCGGUGGCGAAGGCGGGUCUCUGGGCAAUUCCUGACGCUCAGGUGCGAAAGCUAGGGGAGCGAACAGG
rnacentral:rRNA from 1 species